CCUCCCCUCCCAGCCUCUCCCCCUUCCUUCUCCGCUCUCUCGCUCUCUGUGAUUUAUUACUUGCCCUGCUGCUUCUGACAAACUAUUUGUAGGAAAAUGAGAUUUGGUCCGCGCUGGAUGGUUCCUCUGGGAGGCAGGCGUGGGGGUCGGGUGUCGGAGCCCCCGUGUGGCGCCCCCGCCGGAGCCCCACGGCGCUUACGGAGCUCUUUAAGAUAAAUGAGCAAAAUUAAGAGACUCACUGGGGGAAGAAAACCCUGGCUGGCAGCGAGUGAGAGCGGAUGGUACGUGGUUUCCUCCCAAAAAGGCAUCCGUGUGCCCCCUCCUGGGGCCUCCCCCACCCGCCGCAGUCUCCAGGGAACUCCCUCCCCCAGGAGAAGAACUUCCAGCCCCAGGGCAGGAGCCGUUCUGUUCUCAGGAGGUGGCGCCGACAAGGCAGGUGAGAGAAGAAGCACAUGGAGGAAAGCGGCCGGAGGCGCAGCUCAGUGGUAGAGCAUCGGUCAUCAUGGAAACAGUCCUCUUUCAAUCUCCAACACGAAGGGGGAAAAGAGCCUAAAAGCCACCCGUUGUUUCUACUAUUGAUAGUUUGAUCUUUUUCUAAAUUUGAAAUUUGUAUUAAAACUAGUAUGCUGUAAACAUUUGUGAUCUGCUUUUAGCUACUCAACACUAUUUCAUGAAUACCUUUUUGCUCUAUUUCAUAUUUCCUCCUGAAACAUAAUUUUAUUACAUUUAUUUAUUUUGUUCUGCCUGCGUUUAUGUGUGUGGACGUAUGUGUGUACACUCCAGAGGCCAGUGUACAGGAGUUGAUUUUCCUCUUCUACCAUCUGUCCCAGGGUGGUCCGGCCUUCACCUGCUGAGGCCCCUCAAUGGACCCUAAAACAUAACUUUGAGUGACCCUGGUGUUUUACUUCUUCUUAUGUUCUGUAUAUGAUCAUUUUAUCAAGGGCCACAUUCUGCUCAUCCCAUUACUUCUGUGGGUUCUGCUGUUCUAAAGGUGUUGAUGCAACAUUUGUCUAAUUUUCUUAUUUUUGUCACUAUCGGCUCCUCCCAGCUUUCCUAAGGACAAGAUGUGAUACAUAUGAAUAUAGCAGUUGACAGUCUCCUGGGCCUAGUUGGAGUUCUCGGGCUGGAUCGGCUCCUCUAGAAUUUUACAAGUUUCCAAAGACAUUCUGGUCUGUAAGCCAAGACAACCCGAGAAUGUUCUAGAAGCAAGGAAGUGGGGAAGGCUGUGGUUGCUGGAGUAUGAAAAGAGUAUUUUAACAAAAGGGUGAUUCUGAAGCUAUAUAAGAUACUGACAAGUAAAUAUAGCAAGUUAUAAUAAGGUUGCAAUGAUCUCUGUUGGUGUUUUUUAUACAGGAUAUUAAUUGCAAAGUGUAUUAAAAUGUAAGAGUUGAAAAUGGUAAGGUCAACCUAGCACUCCGGCACAGAAACAAAAUGCUGAUAACAUAUAUUAUAGAGGAAGGGGGAGGGCUGAGAUGGAAACAUAUUGGAAAUAAAACUGGAAAAUGUGUGUGACCCUGCACAGAGGGCUAGUACUUUGACAUACAAGUUCACAUCUCUUCCUUGGAGAACAAGGAUUUGUGACUACGGCCCAUUUUCCCUAUGUCUGGAACUCCUGGGUCUCAGGAAUCCUGGGAACUAGCGUGAACUUUUCCAUGGGUUCUUUUUUGGGUGCUGCCAUCAACACUGUUAUUGGAAGCAAAAUAAAGUACACAUACAUAGGAUUGAGUUCCUUCCCGAGACAGCUAAUCAAUUUCUUGGGAUCUUUGAGAAUGCUUUCCACCACUUGCUUUGAACUUCAAUAUUGGGUGACUGAGCAGCUCUAAGACAGAAUGGUGACUGUGAGUUGGGAAUGAUAAGAACAAGGAGUAGGGCUGGAUGAAGCCCACAGACUGCUUUCAAUAUCUGGAAAUGACUGAUUACAAUAAAGUAUCUCAAGCCAGUAAAA